CAAUACCCUGAUACAUUUAGCUCUUCAACAUGUGUCCACUGCACCAGAGCCAGCCCAGUGUACUUUCACUCCACAAUCACCAGCAAGUUUCAUGAGAGCCCAGGGCCUGGACCUGCAGUUUGGGUUGGGAGGGAAGGCAGACGUGGGGAGCACCAUCUAGUUUCAAAGACCCCGUGGCCCUGGGGUGAAGACGACACUCUAGCAUUGAAGCUAAUCACUGAAAGUGGCAUAAUUAAGGUUGAAGGUCUCUGCUGGCUGAAGGAAGCAGUCCUUCAUCCAGGUCGACUGAACCCAGAACCAGCGCUUCAACCUUUGACGUGAUGAGAAGACGAGACGUGUUCCCGGAAAGAAUGUCCUAUGCUUCACAU